UUAGUCACUAUAAUGACUGAGCUAUCCCGGCUCAUGUCUUUGAGUUGUACCGAAGUAAUUUCUGAGUGGUCAGCACUCCUGCCUCGUAUCUUAGAGGGCAUCGGUUCAAAUCUCGGUCAGGAGACCGGCUAUAUUGGCUUUAAAGUUUUUCUUUUUGUUCCUUCUGUGUAAUUUACAGUUCGUUAAUUAUCCCGCCGUUGAACGUUGUAACGCUUUGUAAGCCUAGUCUCAGCUUUUGAAAGCGCUGUCAAAUAAACCACAGGAAAAUUAAUAAAUUUUAUUAUAUCCAACUUCAAUUUGAUGGUUGCAACUUUGGAAUCGACUUCGUCUUACAAGCUCUAUAAUGCGCCUAUGCUUUGUGCGUGCUUAAACAAUAGAACAUCAAUAAAAGUUAGUGGCCAUAAUAUAUUACAUGUGUACUCGUAAUUCAUCUGACCAAGGACUCCCGAUAUCUUGGGAGGGCGCUCGUGAAUUUCGUUCUGUGGCUCUAGAGAAGUGGGGAGGAGGAAAGGGAGUGGAUGCUUGUACAGUAGUGUUUAACUAGCUGCACAGCUUAAGUUACCAGUCAACAGUGUAGAGGUUCUGAAGUUUGCCACUAGCAGUCCCUGGUCGAACUGGGUAUAGUAAAGACGUGGACUUUAUCCAUCCCCCUAUAUUCCACAGAAAGAACACUGUGGUCCGGGAUUUGGUUCUGCUGCCGUCUGCAGGUAAAUAUAUCAUCUUCUUCCAUCUUUCAACACAACGUCAGGAUCAUCACUACCGUAUUCUGAAGGCCCUGGCAUGGGGCAGUCUCCUAGAAGUAGCCUUCUGAACUACGUAACCCGGAAUAGACACGUUUGGAUAUUGCAAAGCCGCCGCUGGAACCUGCACGGCAGUUCGUACGUGUCUUUAUCGCUGUGAAUUUAUUUAUACAAAGUCUGCACGCACCGGCGUUGGCUUUGUCGUCCCUCGCCAGGAACUCGUCGUUGCUUUGCCAGGAUCUGAGUGAUUUAAAGAUCGCGUGGCCGUUCGGAACGCCAGCCAGACCGUUCCUUGAUACCGUAUUUAUGGUAUUAUGGCGUGAUACUGGU